CGAACUACAGGCAACAUCAUAGAUGAUGAGCGAAAUAUGGAUUACGUAUUAUUGCGUUUUAUUUAAGCCUACCCGCGUAUUACCAACUCAAAAUGCGUAGCGGAUACGCAAAAUGCGUAGAGGUUAGCAGGUCUGUAUUAUUGUUUUGUGUUCGAGAUUUGUUUCUGUUUAAACCUUUUAUUUAUUUUUGUUGUGUUUGAAAAUAAACGAUGCACAGCGUCUUUUUGCAACUGCAGUAUUUGUGGUUUUGUUUUCUUUCCUGCUUCUGGCCUGAUGUAAAAGCUGAUGGAACAGAAAUAUUUUGCAGGACAAACUGGGAAGGGACAACCCGUACAUUGCUUUAAUCACCAGCUACACUUGGUCAUUGUGCAUGCCAUGUCCUCAGAAGAAAAGGUAGCAGAAUUCUUCAAUGUGUGCAGCUCAUUGUACAAAUUUCUAAGAAAACCAACUGUUGCUGUUCUCUACAAAGGCCAGAAACUUAAACGAUUGCUCAAGGAGCGUUGGACUGGGCAUUGAGGUUGUUGUGAAGUCGUUUAAUAGCAAUAGACAUGGAACAGAAGUUAAGAUUGAAGCUAUUGGAUUAUUGAAGCAGGUGUCAGCUGUAGACUUCAAAUUCAUUGCACACAUGGUGCAAAAUUUUUUGAGUAUACUGGACACUCCAAACAAAAUGCUUCAGGGAGAAAAAGCGAUCUUCUUUCUGCUGUAGAGGUCGUUCGUAAUGCUUCAGAGUGUAUUGCGAAACUGUGUUGUGAUGCAGUUUUUAACAAUCUGCUGAAUGACAGUGGUGAAACAACUGUGCCAUGCAAGAAACAGAUAAUUUUACAUUUGAGCAAGCACCUUGAAGACUUUGUGGUUGAGGGAUCUGUUGGCCAGCCAGGGGGUGAAGAUGAUAAUGUACGUCAGCUCAAGAGGCUGUUUAUGGUGUGCUGGAUGCCGUACUAGUUGAACUGUCGGCUCGUUUUAAUGAAUGUAAUACUAAACUAAUUGCAGUGCUCAGUCUGCCAAUCCCAAUAGCCCAAUGUUUCUACAACUUGCUAAUUUGCAACCCUUAGUUAAUUUAAUCAAGAUGGACGUUGUUGAAUCUGAAUUCGUAGUUGCACGUCAGUUUCUACAGAAGCAGAUUAAAUCAAACGAAAAUGAAAACUGGACGACCCAGUCUGUGCUGAAAACGUUUCACUGCGCCUUGAAGCAAUGCCAAGUGUUAAGACAGUGCUGCAACUUGAUUUGACUUUUGGCUUCUACUGCUAUGUGCGAAAACUCAUUUUCUACCCUUUCCAACUUACUGACAACACACAGAAGAGGCAUGCGUCACAAUCGCAAAGCGCACCUCAUACAGUUGGCCUUUGAGAAGGAUUUGACCCUCAAGUUCCGUGGUGAGUGGAAACAAGUAGUAAUGAGAAAGUUCAAUGCAAAAAGGAAGCGAAGACUGCAGCUUUACUGAGGGCUUCUUCAUGACAUUGGGUCGUGGUGAGCACACACAGAGGGCAAUUUAGGGUGACCAAUCAACCUGGACAGCAUGUCUUUGGACUGUGGGAGGAAGUACCUGGAGAAAACCCACUUGAACACGGAGAGAACAUGCAAACUCCACACAGACAGUACCCUAGGCUGGAUUUGAACUUAGGACCCUGGUGCUGUGAGGCAGCAGCGCUAACCACUACGCCACUGUGCCGCACCCAAUUUUUUAUGUUGACAUUAUUUUGGUUCUUUGCUUGUAGUUUAUAAUCUGUUUGGAACAUGCAGAUAUUUCACAAACAAGUAAGAGCCCUAACAACUGGAGUAGUGGUUAGGGCUCUGGACUCUUGACCGGAGGGUCGUGGCUUCAAUCCCAGGUGGGGACACUGCUGCUGUACCCUUGAGCAAGGUGCUUUACCUAAAUUGCUCCAGUAAAAAACCCAACUGUAUAAAUGGGUCAUUGUAUGUAAAAAUAAUGUGAUAUCUUGUAACAAUUGUAAGUCACCCUGGAUAAGGGCAUCUGCUAAGAACUUAUUAAUAAUAAUAAUAAUAAUAAUAAUAAUAAUAAUAAUAAUAAUAAUAAUAAUAAUAAAACAGAUUUUAAAAAAGUGCUGCCGCCUCAUGCUACCUAAUGACUUCAAGUGUUGCUAGUAUGACAUUGCAAGCUACAGGUCUGAGCACUUUUGCCAAAUUAAUUUAAGUCUGACUGCACUUGAUUUUAAGGCUUAAGCAACUGGUUUUAUGAACAUAUUUUUUAUGUCCUGAUAUUGUCUUUGUUUCAGUUGAUCCUAAGCUCCUGGUUGGAUAUGACUGGUAGUAUUCUGUGGUUAACAUUCCUGAAGGACUAAGACACUACCCUCUGCUGAUGGUCAGGCAGACCCUGUGCACCUUGGCACAGCCACUGGUCCUCCUCUCACCAAGCAAACUGGCAGCAAUAGUUUACAAAAUAGUUUAGAUUUAUACUCUAUAUACUGUAGAUUGCAUUCAGCAUAUUAAAUGUUAUUGUUCCACAAACUGUAUAAUCUUUCCGUUACAAUAAGGUCAGACUCUAGUCAGCAAUGCGGUCACAUGUGCAAUAUUGUUUCUCCCAUUUCUAGCAACUCUGUUGCAUUGCUAUGGUUCCCAAUGGUAAUUAUAUUUUCACACUUUUCUGCUAGGGUUAUGAAGAAUGGGAGGUUGUAGAUUGCGCACUGAAACAGAAUGAACUGUAAUACAUCUUUGUUUUUUAGUGUCAGGACUUUUCAGGGCUGUGUGGAGCAUUGCUCGUUGUGUUAGGAAUACUCAGAGCCUUUUUCCUCGGGCUGUACGUGGACAGGACAAAGAAGUUCAUAAAAGUCACCAAAAUCAGCUUCUGUCUGGCUGCACUGGCCAGCAUUGCUUUUGCUGUGAUUCACUAGACGGCUAACACGUCUCCGGAGCUGUCGCCUUGGGCCAGCACUACCCGGAACAACAAGACCACAGUCACUGUUUAUUGUUAUCACCCACCUCGAGCACUACUGCACGCACCCGGACUGGUGAGUGUGUUCAGUAUUAUUGUGGGGCGGAACGUGUUAUUUAUUGGGUUUUGCAAACCAUUAUUAUCAUUUCCUGCCGAGCUUUACACAUUGGUGUGUAUUGCCAGAGGAUUAUUGUUUGGUCACCAAAUUUAUACAAAAUAAA